AUGACCGGCAGAGGCAGCUCAGCAGCAGAAGCACGCUGGUGGAGGCCGGCGACUCAACACGAGGCCCACAUGAAGGCGGCUCAACGCGAGGCCCGUGUAAAGGCGGCUCGGAACGAGGCCACAAUGGCUGCUUCUGAAACCAACCCCCGUCCAAGUCUUUGUCCUGGUUGUAGUUGGAAUUUGCUUGAUCUGAUAGCUACGGAGAUGCUCAAAGCGAGGCCAAGUGGGGGCAGCUUGCAGCAACAGUUGGACGCGGCAGGCCAAGGCGGCUCGACAAAGGAAUCCAGCAGUAACAGCAAAACCCACGAGGCAGAGGCAAAGCCGGCCACGGCGGCUCACGGGCAUAGUGACUUCGGCGACUCGCAGCAGUGGCUGCCUGAGGCGACAUGUAAGGGCUGCUUCGGAAGCGUGCCCGGGGUGACUCGAUGGCGGCGGCUUGAGGCCAGGGCGACUUGCAGUGGAAGCUGA
rnacentral:rRNA from 1 species